rnacentral:rRNA from 1 species
GUAUAAGAGACAGCAGUAGCCACGGUAAUACGUAGGGUGCAAGCGUUAAUCGGAAUUACUGGGCGUAAAGCGUGCGCAGGCGGUUAUAUAAGACAGAUGUGAAAUCCCCGGGCUCAACCUGGGAACUGCAUUUGUGACUGUAUAGCUAGAGUACGGCAGAGGGGGAUGGAAUUCCGCGUGUAGCAGUGAAAUGCGUAGAUAUGCGGAGGAACACCGAUGGCGAAGGCAAUCCCCUGGGCCUGUACUGACGCUCAUGCACGAAAGCGUGGGGAGCAAACAGGAUUAGAUACCCCUGUAGUCCCUGUCUCUUAUAC